AGGGAAUAGUAUAGUGGAAGUACGCGGGGUUUUGAGCUCCGUGGUGCAGGUUCAAGUCCUGUUUUUCUA
rnacentral:tRNA from 1 species